UACGUAGGUGGCAAGCGUUGUCCGGAAUUAUUGGGCGUAAAGCGCGCGCAGGCGGUCCCUUAAGUCUGAUGUGAAAGCCCACGGCUCAACCGUGGAGGGUCAUUGGAAACUGGGGGACUUGAGGCAGGUAGGGGAAGGUGGAAUUCCUGGUGUAGCGGUGAAAUGCGCAGAUAUCAGGAGGAACACCAGUGGCGAAGGCGACUUUCUGGUCUGUAACUGACGCUGAGGCGCGAAAGCGUGGGGAGCAAACAGG
rnacentral:misc_RNA from 1 species